GGACGAACGCUGGCGGCGUGCUUAACACAUGCAAGUCGAACGGAAAGGCCCUGCUUUUGUGGGGUGCUCGAGUGGCGAACGGGUGAGUAACACGUGAGUAACCUGCCCUUGACUUUGGGAUAACUUCAGGAAACUGGGGCUAAUACCGGAUAGGAGCUCCUGCUGCAUGGUGGGGGUUGGAAAGUUUCGGCGGUUGGGGAUGGACUCGCGGCUUAUCAGCUUGUUGGUGGGGUAGUGGCUUACCAAGGCUUUGACGGGUAGACGGCCUGAGAGGGUGACCGGCCACAUUGGGACUGAGAUACGGCCCAGACUCCUACGGGAGGUAGCAGUGGGGAAUAUUGCACAAUGGGCGGAAGCCUGAUGCAGCAACGCCGCGUGCGGGAUGACGGCCUUCGGGUUGUAAACCGCUUUCGCCUGUGACGAAGCGUGAGUGACGGUAAUGGGUAAAGAAGCACCGGCUAACUACGUG
rnacentral:rRNA from 1 species